rnacentral:sRNA from 1 species
UGCCCGCAAGCAUUAACCCACACACGUAUCGACACGGUUUCCUGGGUGCCCUGAUGAGUAAUUGUCGGGUUGGAAAUCGGGAUGCGUGGAGGCCUAAC